rfam:Verticillium dahliae VdLs.17 supercont1.54 mitochondrial scaffold, whole genome shotgun sequence.
CCAUUUUGUGAAAAAUGGAAAUAAAAAAAAGUUUUUUUAUGAUAACAUGUAGAACAGGCUAAUUUGCGCAAGAGUGUACAAAAUGAGUGCGCGGUUUGGCACCUCGAUGUCGGCUUAACUUAUCCUCAUGGACGCAGCAACUAUGUAGGGUACGACUGUUCGUCGAUUAAAAAGUUACACGAGCUGGGUUAAAUACGUCGUGAGACAGUAUGGUUUCUAUCUUCUAGAGGGAAUUGGAAUAAAAUAAGGAUUAACCUUUGUACGAAAGGAACAGGAAAACUUAACUCUAAAAAAGUCAAGUAUUAUUAAUUGUUAAUCUAUGGUUUACCUGUUGUUUAUAUGCCCAAUAUUAAUAUUUUGUAAAAGCUAUUUUACAAGGGAUGUUACUCUCACUUAAGUAAAUACAUAUUAUAAGCAUGGCAGGAAAGCUAAGUUAGUUAAAGAUAAGUGCUGAAAGCAUAUAGGCACGAAGCUUACCUUAAGAUAUUUCUAAUAUAUAAUCGUAAUAUAAUAUUACAGCAUAAAAAUCUUAGUAUUAAGAUUAUUAUUAUAUUGUUUUCAAUAUAAUAUUUUUUGCAAUAGGCUUUUGUUGUAAGAAUCUAGAGAUUUUGAGACGAAAAGUACUAAUUAAAAAA